GUAGCAAUACUGGGUGGCGACCGGCAAACGGGUGCGGAACACGUACGCAACCUUCCUUCAAGCGGGGAAUAGCCCAGAGAAAUUUGGAUUAAUACCCCAUAAGAAUGUGGACUGGCAUCAGUCAGCAUUUAAAGAUUUAUCACUUGAAGAUGGGCGUGCGUCUGAUUAGGUAGUUGGUGAGGUAACGGCUCACCAAGCCGACGAUCAGUAACUGGCGUGAGAGCGCGACCAGUCACACGGGCACUGAGACACGGGCCCGACUCCUACGGGAGGCAGCAGUAAGGAAUAUUGGUCAAUGGACGGAAGUCUGAACCAGCCAUGCCGCGUGGAGGAUGAAGGCCCUCUGGGUUGUAAACUUCUUUUAUUUGGGACGAAACACUUCUUUUCUAAGGAGCUUGACGGACCAGAUGAAUAAG
rnacentral:rRNA from 1 species